UAGUCUCUCCAGUAAUGCAGCUAACGCAUUAAGCAUCCCGCCUGGGGAGUACGGUCGCAAGAUUAAAACUCAAAGGAAUAGACGGGGACCCGCACAAGCGGUGGAGCAUGUGGUUUAAUUCGAAGAUACACGAAGAACCUUACCUAGGCUUGACAUUGAGAGAAUCCGCUAGAAAUAGUGGAGUGUCUGGCUUGCUAGACCUUGAAAACAGGUGCUGCACGGCUGUCGUCAGCUCGUGUCGUGAGAUGUUGGGUUAAGUCCCGCAACGAGCGCAACCCCCUUUCUUAGUUGCUAACAGGUUAUGCUGAGAACUCUAAGGAUACUGCCUCCGUAAGGAGGAGGAAGGUGGGGACGACGUCAAGUCAUCAUGGCCCUUACGCCUAGGGCUACACACGUGCUACAA
rnacentral:rRNA from 1 species